CGGGUCCCUCUCUUUCUCUCUUCCUCCCGCCUCCGCUGCAUCUGUGCAGGCUUUCGUUGAAUCGCAGGCCUGUGUAGAAUUUGCAUACCUUUGCUAGGAAAUUGAAUUCCCUCUCCUCCUGCAAAACUCUCCCCGGGAUUAAACCGUCACCGUGUGAUUUACUGUAACCUCGCUGCAGAGCAGAGCCAUCGCCGGAGCCAUGAUUGAUGCGGCGGCGGGAGCUUCUCGCUGCAGCAUUUCCACACUGUCAGAUAUUUCAUUUUUGCUCCCUGCACAAUUACCACAGCUCUGAGCAUCAUGAGCAAAGAUGGCCGGCCUGACUGGGGGAAGGAACGAGUCGGAAAAGACUCACAGAGCCGAACAAGGGGGAUGAGAUCAAUGGAUUAAAAACAGGAAGAUGGAAAAAAGAAGGAGGAGCCGAAGCUGGACAAGCUCAUUAAAGGGAGGGCAGCGGUGUGACAAAUGAUGCGCAGAGCUGGUAGCAUCGAUCUCCUUGCUCACAAGGCAAAGGCGGGGUGUCUGGGAAAGGAGAUGCAUUGGGAACUGUGUGUACGUGCGUGUGUAUGUGGGUGUAGGCGUGUGUAGGGGUGUGUGUGUGUACUCGCAGGGCUGAAAAAUACUCAGGUGCCACAGCUCUAAUGGAGAGGCCAGCGCCGCCGUCCCGUUGACGAAUGGCUUGUCAGUGGAUGGGAGGAGGAAAGAGGGGAAGAGGAGCAAAGCCAAAUGAUUGAAUAGUUUUGCUAAUGUUUGACCUCCUCGGUGCCAGUGCGCGUCCUUCACCGAGACUAAAGACAAGAGGAGCAAGGAAGACGAGAAGUUCUUAAUUCGGGCGGAGAAACCUUGAGUUUUUCCACGACCAAGCAGUCUUCAGAAAAGGACGGGAACACCGGCCAAAAGCAAAACAGUUUGCGAAGAGCUAGCAAUAAUGCCACCCAAAAAACCCCCAAUAAAAACAAAAAUGUAGGAGAGAGGAAGAGGAAGAGCUGGAACAAAUGAGCGGGCUUGUUGCGACUCAGGCAGCCUUGCGGGACUAUCAUUACCAUACAUCAGGACAACGAAUGAGGCUUUCAGCAAAGCGG